CUUUACUGUAGCUUUGUAUUGGACUUUGAACAGAUCUGUGUAGGAUAGGUGGGAGGCUUUGAAGUGCGGUCGCUAGAUCGCAUGGAGCCAACGUUGAAAUACCACCCUGGUGUGUUUGAGGUUCUAACCUAGGUCCAUUAUCUGGAUCGGGGACAGUGCAUGGUAGGCAGUUUGACUGGGGCGGUCUCCUCCCAAAGCGUAACGGAGGAGUUCCAAGGUACGCUAGUUACGGUCGGACAUCGUGACGAUAGUGCAAUGGCAUAAGCGUGCUUAACUGCGAGACUGACAAGUCGAGCAGAUGCGAAAGCAGGACAUAGUGAUCCGGUGGUUCUGUAUGGAAGGGCCAUCGCUCAACGGAUAAAAGGUA
rnacentral:rRNA from 1 species